UAUUGCCUUUGUAUGCAAACGAUCAUAC
rnacentral:sRNA from 1 species